rnacentral:rRNA from 1 species
AUACGGAGGGUGCAAGCGUUAUUCGGAAUCACUGGGCGUAAAGGACGCGGAGGCGGGUUGGCAAGUCAGAUGUGAAAUCCUACAGCUUAACUGUAGAACUGCAUUUGAAACUGCUAACCUAGAGUAUGGGAGGGGGAGAUGGAAUUAGUGGUGUAGGGGUAAAAUCCGUAGAUAUCACUAGGAAUACCGAAAGCGAAGGCGAUCUCCUGGAACAUAACUGACGCUAAGGCGUGAAAGCGUGGGGAGCAAACAGGAUUAGAUACCCUAGUAGUCC